AGUGAACGCUGGCGGUAGGCCUAACACAUGCAAGUCGAACGGCAGCACAGUAAGAGCUUGCUCUUACGGGUGGCGAGUGGCGGACGGGUGAGGAAUACAUCGGAAUCUACUUUUUCGUGGGGGAUAACGUAGGGAAACGUACGCUAAUACCGCAUACGACCUACGGGUGAAAGCAGGGGAUCUUCGGACCUUGCGCGAUUGAAUGAGCCGAUGUCGGAUUAGCUAGUUGGCGGGGUAAAGGCCCACCAAGGCGACGAUCCGUAGCUGGUCUGAGAGGAUGAUCAGCCACACUGGAACUGAGACACGGUCCCGACUCCUACGGGAGGAAGCAGUGGGGAAUAUUGGACGAUGGGCGCAAGCCUGAUCCAGCCAUACCGCGUGGGUGAAGAAGGCCUUCGGGUUGUAAAGCCCUUUUGUUGGGAAAGAAAAGCAGCAGGUUAAUACCCCGCUGUUCUGACGGUACCCAAAGAAUAAGCACCGGCUAACUUCGUG
rnacentral:rRNA from 1 species